GAAGAAGAGUUGGAAAUUGUAUUAAAGCUUUUAUGACAUUUUAAUGCAAUUCUUCUAUUGCCAUUAAAUAAAAAAGUAACCAAAUAUGUAACCAAAGGACAACAUAUGAAAACAAGUAGUUCUUUUUUUCUUCUGAAGUGAUUAUCAUUUCUGAUAAAGCCAAGUACCGUAAUUCCAUGUCUAAAAACCAAGCCAAAGCAUCUAAUCACUACCUAACUGAGGCUUAGAAAGAAAAGUCAACGGCUUAAUCAUACCCCACAACCUUAGACCUAAAGAGCAGAUG
rnacentral:misc_RNA from 1 species